UGUUUUCGACAUUUAUUCAUUCUUUUAGGAAUAUUGAAACAACAUUAUUAAUUGUGGUAAACCUUAUCUGGCAGUACUUAAGAGUGCAUCUUUGACUUUAUUACUCGAGUGAAUGCACCUUCAAACCGGUUUAACACCAACAUGUCACAGUAAUCAAUACCAUCUGUGUUAAGAUGUCGGGAAUGUGUUAGACGAAUGAUUUUGUUUUAUGGAGCUUUGAAUAGCGAUGAAUGGCACUAAAGUGGUGCCAAAUGGAUAUCUCAAACACCCAUUGGAAAUAACCACCAUCUCUCUCAGAGGUCAUCUUUCUCAUUAUUGUGGGAAACCUCAAAGGGCAUCAGGAAAACCUUCAUCAACCUCUUUGUGCCCAGUGGCUUGUGCAACAGUGUUUCAGAAAUUAUCAUUAAAAUGGGGAUAAUGGAUGACUGGCCACACAUAUGGGGCUAUGGACAAGCUUCAGAGCAGGCUGCCAGGUGGUGGUGUUAGUAGUUUAUACUCCGGGUCCCGGCGUGAGCACAUUGAAGGGUCCCAGAGUGACAGUUCAACCACCCACACCUAUCCUGGGCAGAACCAGUACUAGGUGCCUUCACCUCUGCAAGGAACUGACAGCUUCUGUACAUGCCAGGUGCAGUGGUACAGUGUGAAUGGUCGUAGAAAGGAUUUCAUAACCAAUCACAACAGAGGUCACCUGGUCCGCCCGGGAAUCGAACCCGGGAUGUCCAAUUCAGAGUCCAACGCUCUACCGAUUGAGCUGACCGGGCGGACAUAUUAGCUACAUUAGAUGACAAGCCAUCUAUGCUGGACAUUCUUCACAAUAAAAUGUGAUGUCACAGGAGCUGUCUAUCUCAACAGCUCACACUGUCCGUAUUUGACUAAAGGAAUGAAUGAAGUCACUGCAGAAGUUAGAUUGAGGAAUGUCCAUGUCACUACCCAUCAUUUGGAAGGAGUUGGAUAAAAAAAGUGUGGCCUAUGUAUUGAAACAGGUCCGAUUUCCAGUUACGGACAGUCUUGAUUUGUCUGAUUACAUUUUUGACCAACAUGAUGGUCUAAAAGAACACUUACUGGUAACUGGUAAAAUCAUGGCCCAGUUGUUCCAAGAGGCAGGCGAGUGGGAAGUUACUAGACUCCAUUUCUUUAUGGGUUGAUCUGAGGUUCCAGUUCAGUUAAAGUACUGAUAGAACACCAAGUGUUUGCCAUAAUACAGCAACAUUUCAUUUGUAACUAUGUAUUUGUUUGAAUUGUUGAAACAGUACUGUUUACUAAAUAAUGUGUAUGUAUAUGAAGAAUAAUAUUAUAAAUAAUUUGUAAGAACCUUUUGAUAUUAAGUAAAAUGUCGAUAAGUCUAAAUAUGUAUCUGCGAAUCAUUUUUGUAUAUCUGUAAAGAUUACAUUGCCUAUAUUCCUCAAUUUAUAUUUUUCUUUUAGCCAGUCAAUAACUUUGUUAAGUUCUAUCUUCAAAAUUGUCGGGACAGGGAUUAUAGCCCUUAAUUAACCCAAAUAUGUAACAUUCAAUGCAAAAUUGGCUGCAAUUAGGCAGUUCAGAUGCAGGAACAAACAUCACUUGGGUCCUUAAUAAUAGCUUUCCAUCUGACAUUGAAGAUCCAAUAAAAAACAUUUGUCAUGUGACUGUUUAUUAACUCUCAAUUUAUUGAAAGUGAAAUUACUUACAUGAUUUGUAAGAACUAAAUUAUAAUGAUAUCAAAUGAUUGUUUAAAUUAAAUAAAAUAGAUGAUUACAUACAUGAACUAUUUUUAUUUCUUGUUUGUCAAUAUGAAGAGUAAUGCAAUGGCUUUUGAAUUUCAUAAAAAAGGAUGGAAAAAUGUAUGUUUAUUGUUUAAGCAAUUAAUUAAGUAAUAAAAGUUGUUUUUUUUCUUUUUUUCAAAUUGUGCUAUCUUAUAAUACAGAUCGUUAUUUGUUUAAUUUUGGUACAAAUGAAGUAUAUAAGGUAUGUCUAAUGUUACAAAUAGCAAAAAUUCAAAUGCAAAUCAUGGUGACUUGACUAAAUGUGAAUGCUAAUUGAAUCAAAAUAGUUAAUAAAUAAUAAUGUUCA